AUGGGGGCUCAUUUCGCUCUCCCCAGCAGCAGAUGCUUUUGUGCUUGGCGGCCGAACCCAAAAAUCUGCCUUGGCCUACUGGGAAAUGGGAGUACCGUCAGCACCAGAAAGGAUUACGUCUCGGCCCUGGUGUUGAGUCCUGUGGUUUUCACCAGCAGCCUCGUAGCUUGCUCGCAUCCAAGAUUUGCUGAUUUUUGCAUUGCCCGAAUUGGAAAGAAAGGGUCAUUUGGAAAUGUGUUCAGACACAGUAACAAUCUGCAAUCAGCCGCCGUACCAGAACCUGGCGCAGCUCUUGGUCUUGGGGUCGUAGUACCACUUCAGCACGAAGUCCCUGCAGGUCCCCUCUUCCUUCUGCAGCCGGCAGAUGUCCGUGGCUGCAAGGAAAAGCAGGAGCACCAAGGGAAAAAUAAACCAAGAUAUGCCGAGUACACCAGCAACAAGUGGUCAGGAAAUCCAGGACCUGAAAUUGCCUUGUGA
rnacentral:lncRNA from 1 species